rnacentral:rRNA from 1 species
UUUCGCCUUUACAGGUAGUAAUAAAAAAUAAAACCCCUAAAACUUGGCGGUUAUAACUCAUUAAAGAAACUUGUUUUAUAAUAGAUAAUACCCAAUAAAUUUAACUUAGUAUAAAAAUUUAUAUACCGCCGUUACAGAAAUAAAUAAAAAUAAAUUUCCAAACCAAAAAGUUAAAAAAAUCAGGUCAAGGUGUAAUAAAUUACUACGAAAAAUUAGUUACACAUAAAAAAAAUUUAAGGAUUUUAGAUUAAAAUUAAAAAGAAAAAGAAUUUAUAAAUAAAUAAAAAUUAUAAAUUUUCAUAGAAAAAUAAAAUUAUAAUGC